AAAUUGAAGAGUUUGAUCAUGGCUCAGAUUGAACGCUGGCGGCAGGCCUAACACAUGCAAGUCGAACGGUAACAGGAAACAGCUUGCUGUUUCGCUGACGAGUGGCGGACGGGUGAGUAAUGUCUGGGAAACUGCCUGAUGGAGGGGGAUAACUACUGGAAACGGUAGCUAAUACCGCAUAAUGUCGCAAGACUAAAGAGGGGGACCUUCGGGCCUCUUGCCAUCGGAUGUGCCCAGAUGGGAUUAGCUAGUAGGUGGGGUAACGGCUC
rnacentral:rRNA from 1 species